CCUGCAUUAGGUUUCUCAUAUCAGAAACCAGAAGCAAAGCCAUCUUGUCUCUAAUUGAGAAGAAGUUUGUGUGUGUUUUAGCAUACUCUGAAUACGGAUCCAAAACCUCCUUCUCCAAGUUUAUUGGCUUGAUCAAAAUUGUUUGUUGCAGCUUCCAGUUGCCUCCAAGUAAAGCAAACGGUUUGCACACCCUGUGCUCUCAAAUCUAUGUAUCAUGUUACAUGGAGAAAAUGGAACCGGUGACUUGAGAAAGCCACAAAAAAGUACGAGAAGGAGUACAGUUGGUGCAGAACAAGUGGUGAAGGUUGCUUACUGCUGUGACACAAGGAGAUAGCAGAGAUAAGAGGACCAUAAUUUCCUCUUUCAGGAAUAAGUGUUGUUCCUUUACCAGCCCAGUACAACUGAAUCUCUAAUAUAUUAUUUGUCACAUUCGCACUCACUGUUUUGAAAACAGGCUUCAGAGUCCCAUUAGCCGCCUCUUUGAUGUUAAAAUCCCUCAAGAACAAUACUCCCUAACCGGGGAGAAAAAGUACAUAAGGAAAUGAACUUCAAUCUUCCAUGCA